rnacentral:lncRNA from 1 species
UUUUUUUGGAGGUCAUUUAUGAGGACAUUCUUUGAUGAAAAUGAUGAUGAUGAUGAUGACAUCGUUAUGUGUACAUGAUCUUCUGCAGAGAUGGAUUGUUCUUUUCCUGGCAUACUGGUGACCCCCAUCUUCAUAGAUCUGUUCUGCUGUUGAAUGUGCCACUUAUGAACAAAUCCUCAGUAGCACGGGAACUAGCAGAUAGAAUCAACAACUGGGAUCUCAUCUUACUAAAAAGCUUCUGUACUUCAAAAGAAACCAUCAGCAGAACUAAGAGACAAUCUACAAUGUGGGAAAAAAUUUUUACCAGCUGUUCCUCAGACAAAGGACUAUUAUCAAGGAUAUAUAAAGAACUCAAAACAAUCAGUCCCCCCAAAUAUAAAGACCCGAUUCAAAAAUGGGCAUCCGAAAUGAACAGACACUUCUCAGACAAAGAAGUAAAAGCAGCAAGAAAAUAUUUGAAAAAAUGUUCCACAUCACUGGUCAUUCGAGAGAUGCAGAUGAAAACAACACUGAGAUUCCACCUCACCCCACAAAGAAUGGCUGCUAUCAAGAAAUCACACAAUAACAAAUGUUGGCGGGGUUGUGGGGAGAAAGGAACCCUUCUCCAUUGUUGGUGGGAGUGCAGACUAGUGCAACCACUAUGGAAAUCAAUAUGGAGAUACCUCAAAGAGCUUGGACUGGAGGUUCCAUUUGACCCAGCCAUCCCUCUGCUGGGUAUCUUUCCAAGAGAACUAAAAGAAUCAUAUCACAGAGAAGUAUGUGCACCCAUGUUUAUAGCGGCACAGUUUGUAAUAGCUAAAUCUUGGAAACAGCCUAUUUGCCCAUCCGUUGGAAACUGGAUAAAGAAGUUGUGGUUUUUCUAUAAAAUGGAAUAUUACUCAGCCAUAAAGAACGAGAGAAUAGAUUCAUUCAUAGGAAAAUGGAUACAUAUUGAAGAUAUACUCCUAAGUGAAAUAAAUAAGUCACACAUGUGUAAAUACCGAAUAGUUUCCCUGGUGUGAAUAAUCUGCAACAAUGCAUAAGAUUCUAAUAAGAUUACUGACAUUUAGAAAUGGGAAGAAAGGAGCUAAAGGUGUAGGGUAGGUGGGAUGGGUAGGGGAAGAGUAAAAAGGGAAAAGAAAAAAAUGUGAGAGAAUGAAAAGAUGAAAAUAAAGUGUUUGUAGAUGGGGAGGGGAGGAGGGGGUGAAGGGAGGGCAGAGGUAAGGGGAGAAAAUGAGAAUCAAGACUUGUCAUGUAGAGGUACAAGAUCCCAACAAGGAAUGUAACUGUACUGUAUCCCUAAAAUGUACCAAUAAACUCAAUAAAAUUUAAAAAAAGAAAGGAAUUGCCAAUAAUUGUGUUUCACCCUCUGUUUAGACUUUGUUAGUUUUUACAGGUUAAAAAAGAUCAGACUGGAGACCAUGGUUUCUCCACAUCUUCAUUUCUGAUUGGUGUGGAGCAAAGGUGAAGAGUCCCCUGAAUAUCAGUGAAAAGAACCAAAAGCACAAAGAAAAGAGCCUAAUCAAUCUUACUGAAAAGCACCCAGUGCAGUGCAGAUUUUACAUUUUGCACAAUGUUAAAUUAGAAGGAAGAAGUCAUUCAACUACUGGAAGCAGGUGAAGUUACUAAGG